CACGUAGGGGGCGAGCGUUGUCCGGAAUCAUUGGGCGUAAAGAGCUCGUAGGCGGCUCGGUAAGUCGGGUGUGAAACCCCCAGGCUCAACCUGGGGACGCCACCCGAUACUGCUGUGGCUAGAGUCCAGUAGGGGAGUGUGGAAUUCCGGUGUAGCGGUGAAAUGCGCAGAUAUCGGGAGGAACACCAGCGGCGAAGGCGGCACUCUGGGCUGGAACUGACGCUGAGGAGCGAAAGCGUGGGUAGCAAACGAGGA
rnacentral:rRNA from 1 species